rnacentral:lncRNA from 1 species
AUUAUGAAGUAUUUUAUACGAAAUACGUGUUAUGUGUAUAAUUUUGUUGUUAUGUGUGUGAAUGUAUAUUCACUCUCUUCCAUCUCAUAGAUCUGAAUUGCUUUCUAUGAAAUACGUGUUAUGUGGGUGUGCCUCAUCUGUUAUGUGGAAUAUAUAUUGAAUGAAAAUGCUAUACAGGUUUUAAACUAUGUAUAAAAAUAUAUAUUUUUAUCUACUAAUAUGUUGGGUAGAACAUGGGUAGAUAGUUGGUGUGAAAUAAACAGAUGAGAGGCCUCGAUGUUGUUGUUGUUAUUGAUCUAGUUAUUCAGCGGAGUAUGGAUAACGACCACGGACUCUUUCUAGACAGUCCAGUGGAACGCUAGCAGGUUCAUAACCUGUAGGUGUUGUGAACGAUGUGUUCACCGGUGUACUCUAUCCCCCUCAUGGUUGCCUUUAGGAUAUCUAUUGUUGAGGAAACCCCUUCGCAGUGAUGUCCGUCCCGAUGAAAAUCCUAGAUUAGGUCCCUUGAGAUAGUUGUUUUAGGGACGUAAAGUGAGGAUAACGGGAAUGGGUAAUCGGGAUAGUGAUUGGUUGGUGAAAUUAAAUAUAACUUAUUUAUUGUGGGUUGAAAACCCUAUAUGCUCACCAGGCUCCCAAGCCUGACCCACUCAGUUUUAUUUGUAUUACAGGAAGUGGCACAAGGGCGUAAGAUGGAUGGAUCAUCUUGUUGUUUUGUUUACAAGUCUGUAUAUGUAUAUAUUUGUUGAAUGACUUGUAAUGUUUAUCGUUUAUGCUUUAUGGUCUGUAUCGGAACAUGACAUCCCGAGUUUUGAUUAUAUAAUGAAAUGCAUCUCUUGAUGAAAUGCUUUGAUAAAUAUUAUUUUAUCAUGUUUUGUUUUGGGAACAAAUUCCGCAACUCUUUCAAAUCAAAAGGAUUUACUCUGAAAAUAUUUAAAAGCAUAAAUGAAAAUCGGUCUUUUCUGGCCGAGAUUUUGGGGAUGUCACAGUUGGUAUCAGAGCAUUAGUUUAAGCGAACUAGGAAUUUGUAGGAUUUCUAGACUUAAACUUAGAAUGCUAAGUGGAAUUUUGAGAUGUGUGUCUGUUGGAUUUUAGACACGAGCACUAGUUUAUUUUAGGAAAGUUGCCUAAAAUGCUUUUAUGUGCUAAAUGUUAUAUGUUGCCAUAUAUGAUAUUAUUUGUUCGGAUCUACGGUUUGUUGCCAACCGGAUCUGAAGGUUUAUGUGUUUAGGAUUCUAAGCGUAUGUAUACGAUAUUAGAACUAGCAUGUAAUCGUUUGGAGUAAUAAGGUGAAAUUAUUCGGUGUGUAGAUCAAAAAUGGUGAGAACAAGGAGUGGCGUUGGAAACGCAGAUGAAAACAGGAAUCAACCGCCAGUGAUUGAGCAAAUACCUGUUGUAGCAGCAGCACCAGAACCAAUAACAAUGGCUGCGGUGCAAGCCAUGAUUCGGGCUAUGCUAGCCGAACAAAGGGAGGAGAUGCGACAAAUGUUGCAUAAUAAUAGGGAUGAACCUGUCAUACCUAUUGAGGAACCUGAAUUGAUUCCCGAGCAAUCGGAGGAAGGGAACAAUAGUCGCAUGGUGAGUCAAGUUGGGACUCAAGAGGAACGAAGGAACGAUCCAGAAAGGAGAAACAACAAGGAUGGGCGUAUGUACAAGAAUUUCUUGGGCGCCAAACCGCCAAGUCUUUCUGGGAGCCCAAAGCCUGUUGAGAUAAUGGAUUGGAUCUCCGAAAUGGAGAUGGUAUUUGAAAGUUGCGACUGUAGCAACAAACAGAAGACCGUCUUUGCGGUUAGACAACUGAAGACUGGAGUCUUGAGUUGGUGGAAGUUGUUGGCAGAUACUAUGCCACGAGGAGAAGCCCUGAAAAUGUCAUGGGAGGAGUUCUUGGAACAGUUAAGGGUGCAGUAUUGUUCGGAGAUAGAUCUGAUUGAUCUGAACAAUGAGUUUCAAAACUUAAAGAAGGGGAAGAUGAGCAUAGAUGACUAUGCUACUGCAUUUACUGAGAAGAUGAAGUUGUUUCCGUACCUAGUGCCAACGGAACUCUCCAAGAUUGAGAGGUUUGCUAACGGACUGCCUGCUGACUUUGGUCCGACAGUCAAAAUGGCAACCACUCUGAAAACGGCUGUUCGUGCAGCUAAGAAUGUGGAGGCCCAGCAGAAGGAAAAGGGUCUGGAAAGAAUAGAUGUUGGAGAAAAGAGGAAGUUCGAUGGAACUUCAGGGUCCAACAAGAAAAACAAGUUCUCGAAGUCUGGUUCGAGGGGAGGUGGAGGUGAAGCGAAAUGGUGCGACAAAUGUAAGAAGAAGCAUCAUGGAAGAUGUGAGGUGGCGAACACAUGCUACAAGUGUGGAAAGCCAGGGCACUAUGCCAAUGAGUGUACCCUCACAAAGAAAGUUUGCUAUGGUUGUGGUGAGGAGGGUCAUAUGUCGAGGGACUGCCCGAAGAAGAAGGAGGCAGCUAGACCCAACAUUCCGCCAAAGCCAAAGGCGAGAGCAUUCCAGAUGACACUGGAAGCUGCUAAAGAUGAAGCUGAUGUCGCUUCAGGUACCUUUCUCGUUAACGAAUUGCCUGCCCAAAUUUUAUUUGAUUCUGGAGCCAACUACUCCUUUAUAUCGCAUGAAUUUGGUAGAAAGCUAGCUUUGCCUGUUGUUAGACUAGAUAAUGCUUUAUUAGUCGAAGUUGCUAGUGGCAAGUUUGUACCUGUUAGCUAUCGCAUGAAAAACAUCUUAAUUGAUCUGAAUGGGAAUAAGUUCCACGAGGAAUUAUUGCCUAUCGAACUUAAUGGUUUCGACAUCGUAUUGGGAAUGGAUUGGCUUAGCGCCAACGACGCCGAAAUUUUAUGCAAGAAGAAAAUAGUCAAAGUAAACCCGCCUGGGAAAGAUUCGUUUAUGGUGUAUGGAGAUAAACGCAGAGUGAAUUCUGGAAUCAUUUCAUUGAUGAAAGCCAGAAAAUGUUUGACCAAGGGGUGUACAUCGUAUUUAGCAUUCGUGAUUGAUGCUAAGAAGGAAAAGAAGGUGAUGCAGAAUAUUCCAGUGGUGUGUGAUUAUCCGGAAGUAUUUCCCGAAGAUCUUCCUGGAUUACCGCCUGAUCGACAAGUGGAAUUCCGUAUUGACUUGUUGCCAGGAACAACGCCAAUUGCGAAAGCACCUUAUCGAUUAGCACCGACGGAGAUGAAGGAGCUAAUGAUGCAACUUCAGGAGUUAUUGGACAACGGUUUCAUUAGACCUAGUUCAUCGCCCUGGGGAGCUCCGGUGUUAUUUGUAAAGAAGAAAGAUGGAAGUAUGAGAAUGUGCAUCGAUUACAGAGAGCUGAACAAGGCAACAAUAAAGAAUAGAUAUCCGUUGCCGAGGAUUGAUGACCUGUUUGAUCAAUUGCAAGGUUCGAGCUAUUUCUCGAAGAUCGAUCUUAGGUCAGGAUAUCAUCAGCUAAAAGUAAGAGAGCAAGAUAUCGAGAAGACUGCAUUCAGAACUAGAUAUGGACACUACGAGUUCUUGGUUAUGUCGUUUGGACUAACCAAUGCUCCAGCAGCGUUCAUGGAUUUGAUGAAUAGGGUUUGUAACCCGUUCCUUGAUAAAUCCGUGAUAGUGUUCAUAGACGACAUUCUGAUUUACUCGAAAAGCCAGGAGGAGCAUGGCAGACACUUGCGAGAAGUGUUAGAAGUUUUGAAGAAGGAGAAGCUGUAUGCUAAGUUCUCCAAAUGUGAUUUUUGGAUUCGUGAAGUCCAAUUCUUGGGUCACGUGGUCAACCAAGAAGGGAUAAUGGUUGAUCCAGCGAAGAUCGAAGCUGUGACGAAGUGGGAACAACCGAAAAGUCCCACGGAGAUUCGAAGCUUUUUAGGAUUAGCCGGAUAUUACCGAAGGUUUAUCCAAGGCUUUUCUUCGAUUGCUACUCCAUUAACAGCUUUGACCCACAAAGGAGCUACUUAUGCUUGGAGUGAUAAGCAUAACGAAGCAUUCGAGAAGCUAAAGAUGAAGCUAUGCGAGGCACCGAUACAUUCUCUACCCGAUGGGUCUGGGGUUGGAUUGGGUUGUGUUCUGACCCAAAGAGAAAAGGUGAUAGCAUAUGCAUCUCGACAGCUGAAAGAGCAUGAAAAGAAUUACCCAACUCAUGAUUUGGAGUUGGCAGCGGUAGUUUUCGCUCUGAAAAUAUGGAGGCAUUACCUCUAUGGCACGAAGUGCAAACUUUUCACUGAUCAUAAGAGUCUCCAAUACCUCUUUAAUCAGAAAGAAUUGAAUAUGAGGCAACGACGCUGGCUAGAAUUACUUAAAGACUACGACUGCGAGAUACUUUACCACCCCGGUAAAGCUAAUGUUGUUGCUGAUGCUCUCAGUCGGAAAGUCAAUCUUGAAAGGAAAAGGCCAAGAGCGUUGAGAAUUGAAGUUGUCUCGACCAUUUUGGAAAGUAUAAAGAAAGCUCAGAGCGAAGCUUCUGAGAAGAAUGACCGAAAGGAGGAACGUUUGGGCAAAACGUUGGUGUUCGGUGUAAACAGUCAUGGACUGAAGGUGUUCCAAGAUCGGAUUUGGAUACCUAAGACAGGAGGAGUCAGAGAUCUUCUGAUGGAAGAAGCUCACAAAACCAUGUACUCGAUUCAUCCCGGUAGCACUAAAAUGUAUAGGGACCUAAAACCCUACUACUGGUGGCCGACGAUGAAGCUUGAUGUUGCAAAGUAUGUGGCUGAGUGUGUGACUUGUGCGAGAGUAAAGACACAACAUCAGAAACCGUACGGGAGUUUAGAACCAUUGCCUGUGCCUAUGGGUAAGUGGGAAGACAUUGCUAUGGAUUUUGUCACUAAACUGCCCAGAACAAAGAAUGGUCACGACAUGAUUUGGGUGGUCGUUGAUCGAUUCACUAAGAGUGCGCAUUUCAUAGCAGCCAAGGAGAAAUGGUCUAUGGAAAAGCUUGCGAAUUCUUACGCGAAGGAAAUUGUGAGGCUUCAUGGUGUUCCAUUAACUAUUGUGUCGGAUCGUGAUAGCCGUUUUACCUCGAGGUUUUGGAAAAGUCUACAAGAGGAACUGGGUACCAAGUUGUGUUUAAGUAAAGCUUACCAUCCGCAAACUGAUGGUCAGAGCGAACGAACAACACAAACGCUUGAAGAUAUGCUGAGAGUGUGUACUCUGGAAUUCCUAGGUAAUUGGGAUGAACAUUUACCUUUGGUAGAAUUUUCCUACAAUAAUAGUUUCCACACGAGCAUUAAGAUGGCACCUUACCAAGCUUUGUAUGGACAGAAGUGUCGUACGCCGUCUUGUUGGCUUGAGGCUAGGGAAAAGCAGUUUAUGGGACCGGAGAUGGUUCAUCAAACUGCUGAAAAGUUGAAAAUAAUUAAGGAAAGAAUGUUAGCAACUCAAGAUCGUCAAAAGAGCUAUGCUGACAAAAAGCAAAGACCGAUGACUUUUGAGGUUGGAGAUUCGGUUUUGCUUAAAUUCUCACCGUGGAAGGGACUUAUAACAUUUGGUAAAAGGGGAAAGGUGAGUCCAAGGUUUAUUGGAUCGUUUAAAGUUCUUCAGAGGAUUAGGAACCAAGCUUACAAGCUCGAACUACCAGAAGAACUGAAUGGAAUUCAUAACACUUUUCAUGUGUGUUAUUUGAGGAAGUUCACGGGAGAAGUUCCCGACAUGAUUCCACUUUCGGAGUUGAGAAUCGAUGAGAACAAAAGGUUGAUUGAAGAACCAGAGGCAAUUGUUGACCGAAAGACUAAGAAGUUGCGACGCAAAAUGGUUGGGUUAGUGCUUGUCCGAUGGAAACACACGAAUGGGCCGAAUCUCACCUGGGAGACGGAGAGUGACAUGUUGAGUCGCUAUCCGCAUUUGUUUGUUGAUGUGUGAUUCCGGGGACGGAAUCAUUCUAAGGUGGAGAGAAAUGUAACGCCUGUGUUUCCGGGCUUGCCAUUUUUAGCAAUGUAAUAGUCUAGGUUAACCUUUGUAACCCGUUUUGAAAUAAUAAGAUUGUAUUAUUUGAGUAUUAUGUGUUUUGUGCUUAAUUGCUUAAUUAUGUGGUUUGAUUAAUUAAGAAUAAAAAUAAGCGUCAAAAUUUAAGUGUAAAAUAAACUUAAUAUCUUUGGUUAAUGUUGUAGUAGUUGAAACGAGGUUUCCGAAUAUAUAUAGAACGCCCAAAUCUGACUUCGUAUGAGGAAGUUAUGAUUUAUCGAAGUUUCGACUUAGCGGUAUGCAGCCUGAAAUACUCGAUUUGAGAUCGAGCGGUUUUUAGCCGAAGCAAUCUAAACGAGGAUCGAAGGUCUCGUUGUUGGUAUCGAAGCGAUAAAAAGUUAGGCGAGAACGGACGUCAAACGAAGAAGUUAUGAAUUUAUAACGAAGUUUUUCUGUCGCGGCCUAUUAAAAAUAAAUAAUAAAAAUAAAGUCAAAAUUAGCCGACGGAGUCUAAACGAAAGUUGUAGAGCGUAGUCUCACCUUCGCGUGGAUAUAAAGAACGUCGAAAACGGAGUUCGUAUGAAGAAGAUAUGAAUUUCCGAAGUUUAUUAAAUAAAUUGUAUUUAUUUUUAAUCUUUAAAUCCGGCAUUAUCCGAAGGGGAGUCAGCAGUCCGAUCCGACGUACGCCCCGCGUACUCCGAAGAGUGUCGACACUUCGGAUGACGCAUGCAGUGACGACUUCGGAGGCCAGUACGCCCCGCGUACUCCGAGGCUCCAGCCUCCUAUAAAUAGGAUGCGAGGGCAGCCGGCUAUUUUGCCAAUUUCCUCUCUUCUCUCUCCCGUUUUGCAUCGUUUUGCGUGCCAGAAAUACCCCGAAGCCCCGGUAUUAUUCUCGAGCCCCGAGGCAAGUCCCGAGAUCCCGAAGAUCCCGAGAAGUGCGGUUCCCGAGCCGAAGCUCUGCCCGCGAGAAGUUCGAUUUUUGUAGAGAUCUUCCAGAUCUGCUGAGGAUUACUACUUCUGCAAGUCGUAGUGCUGUCCGAUCAUCUUCUGAUCAAGUGAGUGUAUACUACCUUUCAUAAACACGAUAAUAAUACAAGUACGGUUUGAGUGUAUUAAGUAAAUUGUGGUUUAUAUGUGUGAGGGUGUAGUUACUUUCUUCUAACGAGUAACUAUGAAGUAUUUUAUACGAUAUACUUGUUAUGUGUAUAUUUUGUGAUUGUAUGCGUGAAUGGAUAUUCACUUUAUUCUAUCUCAUAGAUCUGAAUUGUUUUCUAUGGAAUACGUGUUAUGUGGUAUGCCUCAUCUGUUAUGUGGAAUAUAUAUUGAAUGAAAAUGAUAUACAGGUUUUAAACUAUGUAUGAAAAUAUAUAUUUUUAUCUACUAAUAUGUUGGGUAGAACAUGGGUAGAUAGUUGGUGUGUAAUAAACAGAUGAGAGGCCUCGAUGUUGUUGUUGUUGUUGAUCUAGUUAUUCAGCGGAGUAUGGAUAACGACCACGGACUCUUUCUAGACAGUCCAGUGGAACGCUAGCAGGUUCAUAACCUGUAGGUGUUGUGAACGAUGUGUUCACCGGUGUACUCUAUCCCCCUCAUGGUUGCCUUUAGGAUAUCUAUUGUUGAGGAAACCCCUUUGCAGUAAUGUCCGUCCCGAUGAAAAUCCUAGAUUAGGUCCCUUGAGAUAGAUGUUGUUUUAGGGACGUAAAGUAAGGAUAACGGGAAUGGGUAAUCAGGAUAGUGAUUGGUUGGUGAAAUUAAAUGUAAUUUAUUUAUUGUGGGUUUAAAACCCUAUAUGCUCACCAGGCUCCCAAGCCUGACCCACUCAGUUUUAAUUGUAUUACAGGUAGUGGCGCGAGGGCAUAAGAUGGUUGAAUCAUCAAGUUGUUUUGUUUACAAGUCUAUAUAUGUAUAUAUUUGUUGAAUGACUUGUAAUGUUAUCGUUUAUGCUUUAUGGUCUGUAUCGGAACAUGACAUCCCGAGUUUUGAUUAUAUACUAAAAAGGAAUCUCUUGAUGAAAUGCUUUGAUAAAUAUUAUUUUAGCACGUUUUGUUUUGGGAACAAAUUCCGCAACACUUUUAAAUUAAAGGAUUUACUCUGAAAUUAUUUUAAA